AAAAUUUUUUUUUCCCGACAGACUUCUCUUUCUCUUUCUUUCUUUCUUUCUCUCUUUCUCUCUUUCUCUCUUUCUCUCCCGAUCAAAGUGUCGAUCCGCCAAAGGAAGAGCUGGUUUAAUCGGAGGCUAUAGAAUCUGUGGAGUUUUGGGUCGGAGGCGUGUUGAAUCGGCGGAGAUGUUAUCGGAGGCGACGGUAGCGGUGGCGAUUUGAAUCGUCGUGGAGAUUGUAGCGGUGGCGAAUUGACGGAGUAUGCGAUGCAAUCGGAACACCAACAAUCAAUUCGAUUGAGAGGGUCAAAUGGGCAAAACUGAUCUUGAUGGCUUGAUGCUAGUUAAAGAGUGUGAGUCGGCCAUGGAGAAAGUGACAAGAUGACAGCAUGAACCGGAAUCAAGUGAUGAAGUCCCGUGACACCAAAAGAACAACAAGCUGUAAGCAAAAAGCAAAUGUGACACCAAAAGAAGGAAUCAAGUGAUGAAGUCGGUCAAGAUUAUGUACUUUCACCACAUGUUUUCAUCCCCGUGACACCAUGUGAAAAGCAAUAGGAUUCACUUUUGUAUAAUUAUGUACUUUCACCACAUGUUUUUACAAGGGCUUUUGUAUUUUUGUACAUCUACCACAUGUUAUCUUUUCAUUUAAGACCACAAAUUGUAUUCAAACUUUUCUAUCCACAUAUUUAUAGUUUUGUAGUCACCAAAAUUUCCUAUA